rnacentral:rRNA from 1 species
CCUACGGGUGGCAGCAGUAGGGAAUCUUCCGCAAUGGACGAAAGUCUGACGGAGCAACGCCGCGUGAGUGAUGAAGGUUUUCGGAUCGUAAAACUCUGUUGUUAGGGAAGAACAAGUACGAGAGUAACUGCUCGUACCUUGACGGUACCUAACCAGAAAGCCACGGCUAACUACGUGCCAGCAGCCGCGGUAAUACGUAGGUGGCAAGCGUUGUCCGGAAUUAUUGGGCGUAAAGCGCGCGCAGGCGGUCCUUUAAGUCUGAUGUGAAAGCCCACGGCUCAACCGUGGAGGGUCAUUGGAAACUGGGGGACUUGAGUGCAGGAGAGAAGAGUGGAAUUCCACGUGUAGCGGUGAAAUGCGUAGAGAUGUGGAGGAACACCAGUGGCGAAGGCGACUCUUUGGCCUGUAACUGACGCUGAGGCGCGAAAGCGUGGGGAGCA